rnacentral:lncRNA from 1 species
UCUUAGUUAGUUCCUUCAGUUUCAAAGUCAUGGAAUAGUAUAUAUAUACAAAGUGUCUGGAAAGUUUCUUUACUUCAAGUUCCUUCCCAAAGGGGCUGAAACUUGUACUUUUCGCUCUCUAUAUAAUUAUAUAUUUAUUAGCUUAUGAGAUCUUUCGUCUUUAGAUCAUGCCUUAUUUAUGCCCUAUAGACUUUGAGAGUAUUAGGGAGCUACCAUUUGAUUUUUAUGGGGGGGGGCUAGGAUGAAAUUUGAAAAAAUAGGCAGGACAGCAGUUUUGAGUUAAAAGCCGGAUGUGACACUUGCAACAAAAAAAGUCAGGACGACAAUUAAUGUAAAAAAAAGUCAGGAUAAACUAAAAAAAAAAAAGGUAGGACCGAUUAGAGUGAAAAAUAAAAAGGCAGGACAGAGAUUACAGUUAAAAAAAAAAUGCAGGACAAAAUUUUUCAUCCUAUCCCCCCCAUAAAAAUCAAAUGGUAGCUCCCUUAUGUACAAGGUAAUUUCACAGUUUAUUAACAUACAUUUGUAUGUACCAAAGAAGUAGGUAAAGGUUACGAUAUCAUGCUAAUCAUCUUUCUGUAUGAGAAUCAAAAAACUCAAUAAGAUUUUGUUUCAGGAUUUUGAAUGUUCAAGUAUCUGAAAGUGUUAUGAACUUAAAAGGAGCAUGAAUUGACUAAGUGUUUUGAAAAUCCCACAAAAAUGCUGAGAAUUUUGUAAAUUUAUACUUCUACUGAGAGAUUAGAAAAUGCAUACAUGACUACUAUGGUACACACAGCUGGACAAUUUUCACAUGAUAUGUUAAAUCUUGAAUUUUAUACAAAAAUGCUAUCGUUUGGAACCCAUAACUUUGCAUAGGUAUAACAAAUUUCUCAUGAUAUAAUCUUAAAAUUCAUUCUUUAACGUUAUAACUUUUGGAACCCC